GACAGAGGGUGCAAACGUUGUUCGGAAUUACUGGGCGUAAAGCGCACGUAGGCAGCAGCGUGUGUCGGGCGUGAAAUCCCAUGGCUCAACCAUGGAAGUGCACUCGAAACUGCGCAGCUAGAGUCUCGGAGAGGAAGGCGGAAUGCUUGGUGUAGAGGUGAAAUUCGUAGAUAUCAAGCGGAACACCGGUGGCGAAGGCGGCCUCUGGACGAUGGACUGACGCUGAAGCGCGAAAGCGUGGGGAGCAAACAGG
rnacentral:rRNA from 1 species